rnacentral:rRNA from 1 species
AACGAACGCUGGCGGCAGGCCUAACACAUGCAAGUCGAGCGCCCCGCAAGGGGAGCGGCGGACGGGUGAGUAACACGUGGGAAUUUUCCUCAAGGUAGGGAACAACUCAGGGAAACUUGGGCUAAUACCCUAUGAAGCAGAGAUGCCAAAGAUUUAUCGCCUUGGGAUAAGCCCGCGUCAGAUUAGGUAGUUGGUGGGGUAACGGCCUACCAAGCCUGAGAUCUGUAGCUGGUCUGAGAGGACGAUCAGCCACAUUGGGACUGAGACACGGCCCAAACUCCUACGGGAGGCAGCAGUGGGGAAUCUUGCGCAAUGGGCGAAAGCCUGACGCAGCCAUGCCGCGUGAAUGAUGAAGGUCUUAGGAUUGUAAAGUUCUUUAGCCUGUGACGUUGAUGACGGUAACAGGAGAAUAAGCCCUGGCUAACUUCGUGCCAGCCGCCGCAGUAA